GGCAACAGGAAGCUUCAUCAAUGUGAUGUCAUAGAUUGCUGAUGAUGCUGUGGCUGUCAAAUCUUCUCCGUCAGACAAACCAAAGCAGUGCAGGUGCAAGCAGCACAAUGAUUCUAUCAGCAAAUAGGCAACAGAAAACUUCACCAGUGUGAUGUCAUAGAUUGCAGAUCAUGCUGUAAUUGUCAUAUCUCUUCUCCUGCUACAGCUUGUGGGACACAGAAAACUCUAAAGCAGGACAUGUAAAGUGGGAAUCUAGGAGGAACAAAGAUUUCUGAUCGAGGCAUUCUUACAAGUAAUGUAUAAAGGUAAGGUAAGAAGAAAGGCUUCAUUACCAAAUACAGAUAAAAGGUAUGUUCAUACAUUUCACUGUUAUGCCUUUAUGUUAGUGUUUAUUCCUAUUACUAGAUUUACUCAAAUUAUGUGUGAAAUAGUUAGAUAUUAUAGAAACGUCUUAAAAAUGGCAGUUUGGAAAAAUGUAAAAGUAGUACUGUUACCACCGUUGCACUGUUUAAUAUUAUACAAUCUAAAAUGCUCACAAUAAAAAGUAGGAUUCACUGGAGGGACAAAAAGCACCAUGAAACCAAUUAUUAAACUUCGGACAGACAGGAUUCGCUAUUGCAAAUCCUGUACACAAGACAUCUCUGUGAGCAGACAGCAUAUGCUGUCCCUAUUUAACAUUGUUUAAACUUUGCAACAGCAAUGCUUGUGUAAUGACGCCCCAUUCUCGUUGGCAGCCAAUCGGCUGCUAGCAGGGGCUGUCAAGCAUCCCUAUGGGAUUGGAUCAGGAUUAUUUUAAUUCACCACCUUUUAGGUGGCAGAUAGGUUAAGUAGCAGCAGUCUUAAGACUGCUGCUACUUAACUAUCAUUUCAGGCAAGUCUGAAACGAUGGGCCUCUGAAGCAGCAAUCAUUGUUUGGUAAAUGAGUAGGCAUGGUUAGGCUAUCAUAUCAGACGGAAAGAGGUUGGCAAAUUAUUAUUUGUAGCAGGAACAUCUGAUCAUAGUAAAUAUGUAUAUAUAUAUAAAUAUAUAGCAUUUGAAUGAUGGGAUUCUAUAGAAUAACUAUUCAAAAUGAAACUUAAAAUGUAGUAAAAAUCUGAAAAGAAAAGCAUAAUGCAAUAUGUAAUUCCUAACUUAGAUGUGUCUGCAGACUUGGAGCUUGACUACCCUACGUUUCUCCUACAUGACCCGUUGAGCAUUUUUUUUGACUUUUUUACAAAUUUUUGCAGUGGAGCUCAGUCUGUUUCCUAUCCUGUACUGGAAUUCCAUGUUUUUUUCUAGAGAUCAUUUUACAUAUAGAAGACGUAUACAGUGUUGUGAGAAAACAAUAACUGUAAAUGUGAAAUCUGACAACUGCUUAAGCCAGAUUUGCUUAAUAAAUCCUAACGGUCAAGGGGUAAUAGAUGGCACCUAUUACAUGAGGGCAAAGCUCAAUUAAUUAGCCUAUUGUUCACAUAAAUAACUGUUAUUUAAGCUGUUACAGAUUUAAUAUAUUUUAUCCAUUUUUACUGUGUUCAAAACUUCAAUCCUCAAGCUUACAUCAUCCUAGCCAUUAUGGUGUGCCCAGUGGCGUUCUGUUUUUAACAGAUAAAAAUAUUAUAUAUGAAAUUCUAAUCUACAGGUAACAAUAAUGGGGCAUAUUUAUCAAGCUCUGUAUGGAGCUUGAGGCCCCUUGUUUCCGAUAAGCCUUCAGGCUCGCCGGAAACAGAAGUUAUCAAGAAGUUAUGAAGCAGCGGUCGAAAGACCGCUGCUCCAUAACUUGCCCGUCUGCUCUGAGGCGUACAUCGAAUUUGAUCGGGUUGAUUGACACUCCCUGCUAGCAGCUGAUUGGCUGCAAAUCUGCAGGGGGCAGCAUUGCAUUAGCAGUUCACCAGUACUUUUUGUUAGCCAUCUUACAUUUUUAUGAUUAAAUUCAUUGAACAUCUCUGUGAAAUAUUUAAAUAUUACUGAGAUUUUUUUAAAAUAAAAAAAGCAGUUUAGAUAAACUAAAAGUCACAUUUUCGUCACAGUUACACUAAUUGUAUAAGAUGUGAAUGCUCACAAUAAAAAAAAAGUAGAUUCCACCAGAGAUUAGAGAGCAUCAUAAAAACCAAUCUCAUAUAAAGUAGUCAUAAUUAUGCAAUAAUAUGAGAUGGAAAGGGAUUUGCAAAUUAUUAUUAGUAGCAGAAACAUUUUGAUCAUUGUAAAUAUGAAUAGAUAUAUAGCAUUUGAAUGAUAGGAUUUUAUGGAAUAAUUAUUCAAAAUUAAAUAACAAAUGUAUUAAAAAUCUGAAAAGAAAAGCAUAAUGCAAUAUGUAAUUCCUAACUUAGAUGUGUCUGCAGACUUGGAGCUUGACUACCCUACGUUUCUCCUACAUGACCCGUUGAGCAUUUUUUUACUUUUUACAUUUUUUGCAGUGGAGCUCAGUCUGUUGCAUUUCAUGUACUGGAAUUCCAUGUUUGUUUUUUUCUAGAGAUGAUUUUUUUUUGUGUUGUGAGAUAAAACAAACUGUAAUUUGAAAGCUGAUAACUGCUUAAGCAGCCAGAUUUGCUGAAUCAACUCUAACAGUUAAGGGUUUAUAGACGCACCUAUUACAAGGGGAAAAGUCUCAUUAAAUAAGCUUAUUGUCCAUAUACAGAAUUGUUCAUUAACUUGUUUCAAAUUUUAUAUAUUUUAUUCAUUUUUAUUGUGAUCAAAAAUGUAAUUCUUAGCCUUUCAUCACCCUAGCGAUUAUGGUGUGACUAGUGGCAUACCAUUUUAACAGAAAAAAAUGAAUUACAGGUAUAUGAAAUUCUAAUCUACAUGUAACAAUAAUAUGUUCAAAGUUUCCAAUGUCAUUUGAUAAAUCUAAAUUUGAAACCAUUUUAUUUGUCUAACAAUAAUACCAAAAUCUCGUUGCAUCGAUUGCUGAGCUUAAUCAGGCCUUUCAGUGUUAAUGUUAGUUUACAACUCCUUACAAAUGUAAUAAUGCUCACCUAUUGAAAUAUAGUUUAAAUACACUCAAUAACAUUUAUUUAUAAGAAUUAUGAUUUUUAUGUUUUUUGCUUUUUUCUAAUAUACAUUCAAUACAAUGCAACUGUUUUAAAGAUGUACUGUUGGAAAUAUUCUAUCUUUUGUCCCGUUCUCCUUUCAAUAUAAACCUUUAACCAAUGCAGCUCUUAGUGAAUACAGGAGUAAUAUUUUAUAUCUAUAUGAAUUAUCUAUCUCAUGUCAUAUGUAGUACAUACUCUUUCCAGAGUAUAACAUUCAGGUCAUACAGUACUAAACUUGUGUGUGUACUUGUUAUUUAGCAGUUCUAGGUUUGGCUUGCAAAGAUAUAUUUAGGGUAUUUUUCCAAAAAAACUAGAAAGUAUAUUGAAUUUAUUUUAUUUCCUAACCUCACACUUCCCAGGGAUGAGUAUUUUAUUUGUGUGAGUAAUAAAUAUUGUAAACUAAGCAGAUGUAAUGAAAGUUACUGUAGAUAAGUAAAUAGAAAGCUAAAUUAUGCCUUGGGAUGGAUGUUUGAAACUUGACCAUACCUCAAUUAAAAACCACAUAGACAUUGGAAAGAUAGUAUAACGUUUCUAGGUUAAGCUUAUUAUUUUGUUGUGGGUUUUGUACUUGAUAUUGUUAGAUAGAGAACAUGCAAGUGAUAUGAAUGUAGAAUCUACAGAUGAAAAAUGGUAAUGAUUACGAAGUAUUGUUUAUCUUCCACAUAGAGUAAUUUGAUUUCUUUAUAUUUAAAAAUGAAAUAUGAUAUUGCUCUUUCAAUUUUGGAUUACAUUUUUUUUUUAUAUAUUGGAGCAACUCAGUUACGCAAGUGUGGAAACAAAGAAGAAUGUUUGUAUUUUGAUAUGCAACAAUUGAUUAUUUUAGCUGGUCAAGUAACUUUUUGGGAGCCAUCUUAAAUUAUUAUUAUUAGAUUCAUUGAAUUUCUCUGUGGAAUAUUUCAAUAUUACAGAGGUGUCUUGAAAAUUGCAGUUUGGAAUAAUUUAAAAGUUACAAUUUUAUCACAGCUGCUCUGAUUUUAUAUUAUAAAUGCUAAGAUAAAACAAUUUAGAUUCUACUGGAGAAACUAGAAAGCAUCAAGAAAGUAGUUUCACAUAAAGUAGUCAUGAUUAGGCAAUUAUAGAUUUGCAAAUUAUUAUCAGUAGCAGAAAUAGUAAAUAUGUAUAUCAUUAUAUAUAUAUAAAUGCUAUACAUAACAUUUGAAUGAUGGGAUUCUAUGGAAUAAAUAUUUAAAAUUAAAUUAAAAAAUCUGAAAAGAAAGGCAUAAUGCAAUAUGUAAUUCCUAACUUAGAUGUGUCUGCAGACUUGGAGCUUGACUACCCUACGUUUCUCCUACAUCACCCGUUGAGCAUUUUUUUUUACUUUUUCAAUUUUUUUGCAGUGAAGCUCAGUCUGUUUCCUAUCCUGUACUGGAAUUCCAUGUUUUUUUCUAGAGAUCAUUUUACAUAUAGAAGACGUAUGCAGUGUUGUGAGAAAAAACAACUGUAAAUGUGAAAUCUGGAAACUGCUUGAGCAGCCAGAUUAUCUGAUUUAAUUCUGUCAAUUGAGGGCACCUAUUGCUGGUGAUUUUUUUUUUUAAAAAUUGGUUCAAAUGUAAUAUAUUUUAUCUUUUUUUUUUUACUGUGAUCAAAACUUAAAUUCUCAGCCAUAUAUCAUCCUAGCAACUAUGAUGUAACCAGUGGCAUUCUAUUUUUAACAGAAAAAAAAUAAUUAUAUGAAUUUCUAAUCUACAUGUAACAAUAAUAUGUUAAAAGUGCCUUAUGUUAUUUUACUUACUAAUUUUUUUUGGCUAGAAAUAAUAUUGAAAUCACUUUGCACUGGUUUCUGAGCUUAAUCAGACCUUUUAGUGUUAAUGUUAGUUGUGCAGCUAAAUGUAAUAAUGCCCUCCUAAAGAUAUUUUAAAUACACUUAAUAACAUUUAUUUAUAAGAAAUAUGAUUUUAUCUUUUUGAUUUUUAUAAUAUAAAUUCA